ACUCAGAUAUGAAAUUGCAGAACUUCUAAGUGUAGAAUGUAACCUACCAUUUAAAUCAGCCUCUGUAUCAGAUGACUGGAGAAUAGUUAAUGUAAAGCAAAUUUUAAAAAAAUCCCUGGCCUGCCCCUCACUCUGGAGUCUGACCCUCACCCCUGCACUGUACCCGAAUGCCCCUGGCUGGCACCUUGCUUCAGGGACUGACCCCCCCCCAACCCUCCUGGGCUGUGCCCCUGGGCUGUGCCCCAAGAUGGUCAGGAACAUCAACCCAUGCUCUGGGUGUCCCUAAACCUCUGACUGCCAGAAGCUGGGACUCGAUGACAGGGAAUGGAUCACUUGAUAAUUACCCUGUCCUGUUCUGUUCAUUCCCUCCAAAACACCUGGCACUGGUCACUGUCAGAAGACAGGAUACUGGGCUAGAUGGACUACUGGUCUGAUCCAGUAUGGCCGUUCUUAUGGUACAAGACUCCAAAGAGAUUUCAGGACUCAUCAGGCCUGGCUCGAGCAAAUUGAAUCCUCCAGCUGCAAAGCCAACAUGCAGAGGGAAGUCUCCUCUCAUCUGCUUCAAACUCCCAUGCAAUAUAUUGUCUGCUGAGCAUAGUGGAGUCAGUCCCAAGGAAUGGACAGUGAUUUGUCCAGUCUCUAAGGUGCCACUAGUACUCCUUUUCUUUUUGCGAAUACAGACUAACACGGCUGCUACUCUGAAACCUGUCCAGAAUGUGUACAUGUAUUUUUGGAGGGACAGAGAGAGAGAGAGUUAAACUGUUAAACUGGCACUGCGUGAAAUGCAUGCAACCUGUGGCAAGUGCCAGACAGAGCCAUCCUGAAAGCGGGGGGGGAGGAGUCCUGAUUUCCCAAAGUGCUCAUGUUACCACGAAGAAGCACUCAGAAAGUACAAAUCACCUCAUGCUCCAUCCCAUGCAACCCUGACACAGGAGCUGUGAACAUCACACUAGGAGUGAUGGGACCUCAGGUGGCCCCUACAGCUGUUUGCCCAUCAUCUGAAGCAGCCCUGUGACCUGCUAAUGCCGAAGGAUUGCUCUGCAAAGUGUGGGUGAUUCCAGAAAAUCCGAGGUGGAGAGAAACUGUGGAAAGGGGGUUGGGAGGGCUGCAUUGGUAGUUGCCAUGGGUGAAACCCUGGACCUGUUGAAGUCAAUAUGAACAUUCCCACUGAUUUCAAUGGGCCCGGAUUCUCCCUCUACUUGGCCAGAUAUGGGGGGAAGAGGAAAGUGAGGCCCUAUGCUCAACUUGAUAGCUUUUCUCUGUUUGGCUGUAAUGCAGUAACUUUUGAAUGCCGCAUCUGAUAAAUUCCAAAUUUUCAGGGAAUGUUCUAGGCAACAAUGGGCAACAGCCUGUCAAUUCUGAGGAAAAUUGGCAAACCAGAAUGGGGAGACAGAGGACACACAGAGCCCCUGGCAUCUGGUUAGCAGACCCAGCAGAUGCAACAAGAACUAUAAUUCUCUACUUAUCAAAUAACAGUUUGAUGGCAGCCAUUAACACCUUCCAGCAUAACAACCCCUGCCCCCCUCCCACCGCUCAGCUCUGCCCAUUGUCCUAAUGGAGUUUCAAAUGUUGAUACCCUAAAUGGCUUAUUUCCCAGACAGAAAGAAAAGAAAUAAGGGGGGGGGGGAAGAGGGGGAGAAGAAUAUGUGAGAGAAAGGGAGCACAUAGACACCCUGGCAUGGGGAAGGGGCAGAGAAUGUGGGGCACACAAAGCCCUUGGCCUAGGGAGGAAGCAGGAAUGGUGGACACAGAGCCCCGGGCAUGAGAGGAAAGGGUGUACACUGAGCCCCUGGCAUACAGGACUUUGGGGUUUCAAGCAGUCCCUGAAACAGAGGGGAAUGGGAGCGUGAGACACAGGGAGCUUGUGGGGUGGAAUGGAGGGAUGCAAGGAGCCCCUGGCAUGUGCAAUGAACUUGGCCUCCAGAAGCUAUGAAGUGUGCACCCCUCUAAUUUAAAUAAAAUGUUAAACCUGCUGCCUGGUGGCAGGUAUCCAAGUGGAUGUUAAAUAUCCUUUGGUAGUCUGGCGAGAGAGUGAGUGUUGGGGACAAGAACCCGGGUAUUUUGACCCACAUCCUCCACAAAACAUACAAUGCAGAAAGAGAGAGAGAGUGUUUUGGGGAAAAGAACCUGAGUAUUUUGACCCACAUCCUCCACACAACACACAAUGCAGAUAGGCUCUAAUGUGCAAGCUAUUGCUGAAUGUAUAAUGGCUGCUUCCUUUGCCACACAGUGGCUGACGCAUCGCUGCUCUGAGGUACUGUAUUUUAAAACCCAGCUCCCUUCUCUGCCAUUGCUACUGGAAUUCGAAUCUGACAUUGCAGAAGGCUGGUUUUAACUGUUUUCUUCUCCUUUUGUCCCCCUGGAAAGGGAAAAACAGUGUGGCACCACCUAAACUCUUGCUUUGAAGCGUAAUUACAUUAACAGUACCCCCCGCCCCCCAAUCCAAUUUGCACUAUACAAUGCAAAGGACCGAUUGCCGUCGAUAGAGAAUGUAUGCCAAAUCCCACAGCCUAAAUCAUUGUUCAAAGUGGGGGGAACCCCUCACAUUUUACUUCUGUUCUCCUUGGCAGCCAGUUGCUGGUACUUUUUUCCUACCAGUCCAGCAGAUGGUGUCAGACGGCUGUUUAAUGGGGCUCAAAAAGGAAAAGGGAUCAUUCUGGUGAUAGAGCUAAAGAUGUUAGAGGAAAGCUGCCAGUGUUCAAGGAUGUGUGUGGAAUUUGAAAGCCCAGAUGUGCUCUUGCUUCAGCUGUGUUGUGUGUGUGCAUCCUAGUAGCCUAACUAUUUUGCGUGAUUGCUUCUUAGUUUUGCUAUUCAUCAGACCCAGGGCCUGGCUCUGUAGCAUUUUAUGUCUCUUUCCCAAGAGGUUAACGGGACACUCUUUCAGCUUGAUGAUAUUACUCUUGAGUCACUGAAUUCAUGUAACCUUAAUUUAGACUGUGAUUUUUGUUGUUUGUCCAUUACCUUUUCUCAUUGCCAUAGUCCUUUUUCUGAUUCCUAACAGUAACUAAUGAAAUAGCAGACAGAAAUAAAAAAUCCCUGGUUGUUCAUUUUUCUAGUUGUCUGAUCCUGCAGCAGGGAGAGUAACACAGCAAGACAGCCUCUGCAGUGCUGUUGUGAGCGAGAAAUGCACAUGCCACGCUCCCAAAGAAAAGAGAUGGGACAGGGCGAGUGAUAGACUAUGAACCUCUUACCCUGAGGUCAAUGAUUCAGAGCUCUUCACUCUUCCAAGGUGGAUAGGUUGAGUAUCCUGCAGGUCACUGUACUGGCUGAGGGGGAUUGGAGCCUCCUGCAAUGGUGCCUACGCCAUGACAGCAAAAAAGGUAUGAUGACCCUUUAACUGUUGUCAUGGUAACAAAGCAACGCAGGCUGUGGUUGGGAUUUUCAAGGGUAGGUGUUAAUAUCCCAGGUUAUCAACUUGAGAGGGAGCUGCCUUCAUGACACAAUGUUACAAGAUAGUAGAGAUGGGUUUAACCAGUUGAGCUAUCUCAGGCCAGCCUCCUCGUGUGCCCCUUUCGAUGUGCUGGAUUUCUGCUUAUUGCGUCUGAGGGAUCUGGAGGUCUAGAUGGUGCUAGGGACUCACAAAGGGAUACAAAGCCUUUAAGGGAUCUUAAAACCGUCCCGUCACCAAUUCAGCACUAGCCUGGGUUGGCUGAUACCAAGGACACACUGACUGUUCCGUGGCCUAUGUGAAAAGUGUGCUGAUCUCAGGCCAUAUGUUAGAGGACAAAAGGCUGUCCUCAGUAUUUGGCCUCCUUGUUGUCAGUGUCAGCAAAAAGGCUAAAGACUGAUAAGGAAUGGACAUCCUUUUCACCCGUAAGGGCCUGUCUACUCUUAAAAUGUUACACUGGUGGUGCAGCAGCUGUGCCAAUGUAGUGCUUCGGUGUAGAUACGACCUAUGCUGAUGGGAGGGAUUCUCCUGUCAACAAAGGUAAUCCACCUCCCCAAGAGGUGGUAGCUUGGUCAACAGAAGAAUUCUUCCAUCAACCUAGUGCUGGGACUUAGGACAGUUUUCUCACAUCCCUGACCGAUGUCGUUAAACUGACCUAAUUUUUUGUGUAGACCAGUCCUUACAAUGGCCUCUUUUGCUGAUGGAUAUUGACAGGGCAAUGCAGGGAGCUUGUAAUGCUGCUGCCCUGGCUUCAUCUACUCGGUGGGUGGAGGGCUUCAGUCUCCAGGCCAUCUUUCACCAACACUAAACUCCCUUUAAAAACACUGUCAAAUGUGGGCAUUGCUCAGGAGUCUGAAUGAUAUUUUUAAUACUUCCUGUCUGUAUUUUAGAGAGACUCUUUCAAGAUAAAAAUCCAUAUUCUUAAAAAAAAUAACAUUCUUCCCUGAGUCACUUUAAUAACAAUUUCUGUUAUUCAAAUAUUUUUUUCACCAUUUAUGCUGUUUAUUUUAUUUUUUUGCUCUUCACUCAAUUGGGCCAGUGAAUUUAGUCUGGUUAGUUUCACUCUCUGUUUAUAGUCACUUUCACUCUCUGAUUCUCAUGCACUAGCCCAAUGCUCUUGUGCUGGGUUCUCAAGAAAGUAAGAGCAGGUUUGAACUGACAAAACUUGCUUUCCCUUGGAGUUUUGUUUCAGAUUUAAGAAAAUAUUUCUGUUUUAUUUGCACUUUUGGCACUUUAAAAGUCCAUCUCUCAUUGAAAGGAAUUUCCUGUCCUCAGAUUGAAUUCAGCAGAAUAUUAUUGGAUUCCUGUACAAAAGAAACUCUCUUCCAGUGAUAGAAGUGGAUUUUUAAGGCUCAAGAAGUGUUGGUUUAUUAUCCCUUCCCACAACAGUUCUGUUUUUGCAAAAUGUGCGGUGGAAACUCAGCAGAUCGGAGAUGCAAAAUAUAUGACCACACUGCGAGUUGCUGUUGUCUGAUGGCCCAGAUUGGUCUCACCCAGAUUUCCCUCUUUGCAGGUAAUCACUUUACAACUGAGCUACAGAUGCAGCCUCUCAGCCUGCUGGGAGCGCAUGAGAUUAUUACAGAGGCCCCUUUAUAAUUAAGUCAGAACCGGCUUUUCCAUUUAGCUUUAUUAAUGUUGUUCUCCAGCCAUAUCAAAUGUUCUUGUGAUUGCCAUCUUUAGAACAUUUAUAACACAUUCUUUGUAUUGACUUUGGAAUGAAGGGGGUUUGGGUGGGAGUUGUUUUGUGUGUAAGAAUUUAUCUGAAAUGUUGCAUUUAACCCUUUUGUAUUUUAAAUUAAAUUAUUCAAAAAAUGGCCAAGUCACUCAGAUUUGAGGCGCGCCUACUGCUGCACAGUGUGGUUUCCAGACCCUAU